AACCGCUACAUGCUAACUCCCUAAAGCCCCAAAGAGAGGUAAGCUAACCGCUACAUGCUAACUGGCUAACUCCCUAAAGCCCCGAAGAGAGGUAAGCUAACCGCUACAUGCUAACUGGCUAAAGCCCGAAGAGAGUUAAGCUAACCGCUACAUGCUAACUGGCUAAAGCCCCGCAGAGAGGUAAGCUAACCGCUACAUGCUAAUUGGCUAACUCCCUAAAGCCCUGAAGAGAAGUAAGCUAACCGCUACAUGCUAACUCCCUAAAGCCCCGAAGAGAGGUAAGCUAACCGCUACAUGCUAACUGGCUAACUCCCUAAAGCCCUGAAGAGAGGUAAGCUAACCGCUACAUGCUAACUCCCUAAAGCCCCGAAGAGAGGUAAGCUAACUGCUACAUGCUAACUGGCUAACUCCCUAAAGCCCUGAAGAGAGUAAGCUAACAGCUACAUGCUAAUUGGCUAACUCCCUAAAGCCCUGAAGAGAAGUAAGCUAACCGCUACAUGCUAACUCCCUAAAGCCCCGAAGAGAGGUAAGCUAACAGCUACAUGCUAAUUGGCUAACUCCCUAAAGCCCUGAAGAGAAGUAAGCUAACCGCUACAUGCUAACUCCCUAAAGCCCUGAAGAGAGGUAAGCUAACAGCUACAUGCUAAUUGGCUAACUCCCUAAAAGCCCUGAAGAGAAGUAAGCUAACCGCUACAUGCUAACUCCCUAAAGCCCCGAAGAGAGGUAAGCUAACAGCUACAUGCUAAUUGGCUAACUCCCUAAAGCCCUGAAGAGGUAAGCUAACAGCUACAUGCUAAUUGGCUAACUCCCUAAAGCCCUGAAGAGAAGUAAGCUAACCGCUACAUGCUAACUGGCUAACUCUCUAAAGCCCUGAAGAGAGGUAAGCUAACCGCUACAUGCUAACUCCCUAAAGCCCUGAAGAGAGGUAAAGCUAAACAUUAACAUCCAUGUUGUUGAUGGAUAAAUGUAAGUCCUCUCAUCCAGUGUCUUUGAUAACCGCUACAUGCUAACUCCCUAAAGCCCUGAAGAGAAGUAAGCUAACCGCUACAUGCUAACUCCCUAAAGCCCUGAAGAGGUAAGCUAACCGCUACCUGCUGGGGUUUUUGCCACCGGAGUAGAAUGUCAUAGCCAUUGAAAUAGAAUGAAUAGACCAGACUUGGAAGCUCUGCCCAAUACAUAGCAAGGCCUGUUCUACUCAUUCUAGUUCUGUGACUAUAGAAAUGAGAAGUAAAAGAUGAAUGAAAGUGUGUGUUGCUCUUCCCU